UACGGGGGGUGCGAGCGUUGUCCGGAAUCACUGGGCGUAAAGGGCGCGUAGGUGGUCUGAUAAGGGUGUGGUGAAAGCCCGGGGCUCAACCCCGGGUCGGCCGUGCCGACUGUUAGACUAGAGUGCUGUAGGGGCAGGCGGAAUUCCGGGUGUAGCGGUGGAAUGCGUAGAGAUCCGGAAGAACACCGGUGGCGAAGGCGGCCUGCUGGGCAGUUGCUGACACUGAGGCGCGACAGCGUGGGGAGCAAACAGG
rnacentral:rRNA from 1 species